AUUCAUUCUCUGCUACCUACUUGAAGAUUUUGCCAUGUCUUUCUUGGUUUCUCAGUUGCACUUAUAGAAAUAUAUAGUGACAAGGACGGCCCGGCCUUCUUCUAAGCUUUUUCGCUCGAUUAGCAUCGCUAAGGGAUUGAUUUCUCCUAACAUGUGUUGUUUCUUCAAACAAUAUUUUAUAAGUCUAUAUCCUUAGUUACUUACUCCCAUGCUGAUAAUAAUAAAACUCACUCAUCACUUUUCGUGGUAUGAUAAAUUGGUUCUUCCUGGGGGAUUUAGAUCCUACAUAUUUUUAUUCGCAAUUUGUUCAUGAUAGUUUAUGUCAACUUAAAUUUCAAACUAUUUCACAAACCAAAAGAGGAAAAGAGCGACUUUUGUUUCCCCUUUUCAUGUAAUAAUUAUUUUACCUUUUUUCUUAUAAUUUAUAAAUCAUAAACUUAAGUAUCGGGGUUAGAAAGACUCAAUAUAUAAACUCGAAAAGGAGUAUAAAAAAUCAUCAGUUUUCUUAAUUUAAGAUAUAGAGCAUCAUCGAAAUAUCUUAAUUUUCUUUGCAUAAAAAAGACGUUGACCAGUAAUUUUCAUUGAAGUAUAUAUCUAUUUGUAGAUAUGAUUUUAAAAAUGAAAAUUUGUUCAAAAACAAGUACAACUCAGAACUUCGACAGAAAUCUAAAACAGGGAGACGAAGUAAAGCAAAACGGAUGAUAUAUACAGUCUGUAAUAACAAUGAAACAACCUUUAUUGUCCGACGAAAUUGGGAGUUAAAUUUAUUGAGCUUCUAAUGAUUUUCGUCGGACGAAAACCUUCACUUAUAUAAAAUGAUGAUAUAAGAAGUUGUGAGAAAUUUCAAUUCCUUUUCUCAUUUUCUUUCUUUUUCUUCAACUUCAUUUUUCUUCUUCCAUUUUUACAAAUAGUGAUAUCAAUCAGCACAUCGUAUUCAAAAUUAAGAAGUUGUUAACACAACUGCAUUGGGAUGAACUACAAGUGUAAAUCAAUUACUUUUUUUUGUUCUCCGUUUGAUAUUUGAUAAUGAUACAUUAAAUAAUUUUGUCUUUAAGAAUUGCUAUAAAGCACUUAGUGGUAAAUGAAUAACCUCGAUCUAGUAAAAUUAUCUUAGUGAAGUGUUAAUUAGUGUGUAGUUGAAAAUUAUAAGGAGUCUAAUAACACUUAGUGCUAGAUGAAUUACAUCGAAUUUAAUUUUAGAAACAAUUCAGGCGACCUGGUCCUCUUUAUGAACAAGGGUUGUUAAUUUGACUUCCCCGGCUAUGGGUUGGCUU